rnacentral:lncRNA from 1 species
CUUGUAUUGUCAGGAAGUAAUCGGUAUCGAAUAGGCGGAUGCCGGCACUUUGAUGCUGCUCUGCUCGGCGACACGUUCAUCUGAUCAACUAAUAAUACUAUAUAUAAUACUCUACUAGUUUCGUGUAACAGUAGUGUCUAUUUUAAUGUCUCUCGUUGUCAGGUUCCAUUUCGUCUUCCAACACAUCAAUUAGCAUUUGGCAGGGGGGAUGUUGUUUUCAACUUCUCGGUGCCAUGAAGUAAGAGAAAUGUAUGAAUUUCAUGAUACGCAAUAAUGUAUAAAAAUAUGUAGCCACCGUUAUCCUGACGGAAA